rnacentral:rRNA from 1 species
GAUGAACGCUGGCGGCGUGCCUAAUACAUGCAAGUCGAGCGAAUGGAUUAAGAGCUUGCUCUUAUGAAGUUAGCGGCGGACGGGUGAGUAACACGUGGGUAACCUGCCCAUAAGACUCGGAUAACUCCGGGAAACCGGGGCUGAUACCGGAUAACAUUUUGAACCGCAUGGUUCGAAAUUGAAAGGCGGCUUCGGCUGUCACUUAUGAUGGACCCGCGUCGCAUUAGCUAGUUGGUGAGGUAACGGCUCACCAAGGCAACGAUGCGUAGCCGACCUGAGAGGGUGAUCGGCCACACUGGGACUGAGACACGGCCCAGACUCCUACGGGAGGCAGCAGUAGGGAAUCUUCCGCAAUGGACGAAAGUCUGACGGAGCAACGCCGCGUGAGUGAUGAAGGCUUUCGGGUCGUAAAACUCUGUUGUUAGGGAAGAACAAGUGCUAGUUGAAUAAGCUGGCACCUUGACGGUACCUAACCAGAAAGCCACGGCUAACUACGUGCCAGCCGCCGCGGUAA